rnacentral:rRNA from 1 species
CGUAGGUGGCAAGCGUUGUCCGGAAUUAUUGGGCGUAAAGCGCGCGCAGGCGGUCCUUUAAGUCUGAUGUGAAAGCCCACGGCUCAACCGUGGAGGGUCAUUGGAAACUGGGGGACUUGAGUACAGAAGAGAAGAGUGGAAUUCCACGUGUAGCGGUGAAAUGCGUAGAGAUGUGGAGGAACACCAGUGGCGAAGGCGACUCUUUGGUCUGUAACUGACGCUGAGGCGCGAAAGCGUGGGGAGCAAACAGGAUUAGAUACCCUGGUAGUCCACGCUGUAAACGAUGAGUGCUAAGUGUUAGAGGGUUUCCGCCCUUUAGUGCUGCAGCUAACGCAUUAAGCACCCCGCCUGGGGAGUACGGCCGCAAGGCUG